UACGAAGGGGGCUAGCGUUGCUCGGAAUCACUGGGCGUAAAGCGCACGUAGGCGGCUUCUUAAGUCAGGGGUGAAAUCCUGGAGCUCAACUCCAGAACUGCCUUUGAAACUGCGGGGCUUGAGGCCGGGAGGGGGUAGCGGAAUUCCCAGUGUAGCGGUGAAAUGCGUAGAUAUUGGGAGGAACACCAGUGGCGAAGGCGGCUACCUGGACCGGUUCUGACGCUGAUGCGCGAAAGCGUGGGUAGCAAACAGG
rnacentral:rRNA from 1 species